rnacentral:rRNA from 1 species
CUACGGGAGGCAGCAGGGAGGAAUAUUGGGCAAUGGGGGAAACCCUGACCCAGCAACGCCGCGUGAAGGAUGAAGGCCCUCGGGUUGUAAACUUCUGUGACAGGGGAAGAAAGAAAUGACGGUACCCUGAGAGGAAGCCACGGCAAACUACGUGCCAGCAGCCGCGGUAAUACGUAGGUGGCGAGCGUUGUCCGGAAUCACUGGGCGUAAAGGGCGCGUAGGCGGUCAUGCAAGUCGCAUGUGAAGGACCAGGGCUCAACCCUGGGGUGUCAUGCGAAACUGUGUGACUUGAGUGCAGUAGAGGGAAGCGGAAUUCCUGGUGUAGCGGUAAAAUGCGUAGAGAUCAGGAGGAACACCGGUGGCGAAGGCGGCUUUCUGGGCUGCAACUGACGCUGAGGCGCGAAAGCGUGGGGAGCAAACAGGAUUAGAAACCCGGGUAGUCCA